AUUGAACGCUGGCGGCAGGCCUAACACAUGCAAGUCGAGCGGAUGAAGGGAGCUUGCUCCUGGAUUCAGCGGCGGACGGGUGAGUAAUGCCUAGGAAUCUGCCUGGUAGUGGGGGAUAACGUCCGGAAACGGGCGCUAAUACCGCAUACGUCCUGAGGGAGAAAGAGGGGGAUCUUCGGACCUCACGCUAUCAGAUGAGCCUAGGUCGGAUUAGCUAGUUGGUGGGGUAAAGGCCUACCAAGGCGACGAUCCGUAACUGGUCUGAGAGGAUGAUCAGUCACACUGGAACUGAGACACGGUCCAGACUCCUACGGGAAGCAGCAGUGGGGAAUAUUGGACAAUGGGCGAAAGCCUGAUCCAGCCAUGCCGCGUGUGUGAAGAAGGUCUUCGGAUUGUAAAGCACUUUAAGUUGGGAGGAAGGGCAGUAAGUUAAUACCUUGCUGUUUUGACGUUACCAACAGAAUAAGCACCGGCUAACUUCGUG
rnacentral:rRNA from 1 species